CAUGAUGCAACUACGGGUUGCCACCUUGUACAAAACGUGUCCAUUAAUCCUAGCUAUGUGAGCCACAUAAAAUGAUAAAAGUCCAUACCUUUUUGGGCCACGGAUCUAACACAAAUUCUCUACUGGGGUUUAAUUUGCAAAAAGAUUCCGGGGUUAAAUUGAAUAUCCAUUGGAUAUUCUUUGAGGUCCUCCAAGAUGAACAUGUCAAAAGGAAAUGAAGAGGUUAACGAACAAGGUGCAAGAGAAACCAAGGUGGUGGAGACAGUAGAUUAUCAGUCACAUCCUGGAGAAGACAGAGAACCUGCUAAAGAGGCGGUGCAAGUGGUUCAUUUGACUCGUGAUAAUAAGCGUGAUUCCAGUGUCGGAGGUGGCAAAUUGGCUAGUGCAGUUGCUUCAGUGGCAAGUACUAUAAGGUCCGCUAUGGAUGCCAUUUUGGGCACUGGAAAAGACAACGCCAAAAAAUGAGUGAGACUUGCAGAAGAUAGAUAAAUAUGAUAGCUAGCUAUGUAGCUCGAGAAUAAUGAUAAAGAUCAAGAAGAAGAAAUUGAAAAUAAAGCAAUUUAUGUUA